GACCAGGUAGCUCAAAUGGUAGAGUAUCCGACUGGUGUUCGGAGAUUCCGGGUUCGAGCCCCGGUCUGGCCG